AGCAAUUUGGCGCAGUGGAAGCGCGCCGGGCUGUAAGUUCUCCUACCAGACCCAGCGAAGUGACUCACUCUAACUAUCAAUAGCAUAACCCGGAGGUCCUAGGAUCGAAACCUAGAAUUGCUA